CCUAAAGAAUUUACUGACAGAAGACGAGGAUGUUGUGGAAGUGCUUUAUUUGGAUUUCACAGUGAAAGGAAUAGAACUCAUUCCGAAUGGAGCAGAAAUCCCAGUCACAAAAGCCAACAGGCAGAAAUAUGUGGACUUGUACGUCAACUUUGUUUUUAACAAGUCUGUAGAAGGACAGUUUAGGAAGUUUAAGGAAGGUUUUUCUUGUGGAAGCCCCUUUGAUCUCUGGAGGUUGUUCAAGCCUGAGGAACUC